UUCAAACAUAGUUUCUCUCCGAUUUGUGCCUGUCGCCUGAGGCCGUAAUCAUCGUCGGCCUCAUAAAAAUUAAAACUCUUUUCGCAGCCAACUAUUGAGUCGCUUGAUCCACGAGCCAACUGAUGCUGUAACACGUUUUUCUACUUCAGCUUCACCGUUAAGAUGUGACUCUUUCCCAUAGUGAAGCAAUCCCACCGCCGUCGAAUAAUACGGCUCCUGAGCAUAAUCCGUUAAACCGGUAAUGUUCAGCGGCGCGCCGAUACGCACUUGCGUAUGAAACACGCGCUGAGCACAGGCUGCAAGACCUUCGAUCUGCGCUGCGCCACCGGUUAAUACAAUGCCUGCCGCCAGGUGAUGUUUAACCCC
rnacentral:antisense_RNA from 1 species